rnacentral:ncRNA from 1 species
UUGAGCCGUAUGUGGGGAUAACUCACAAGUACGGUUCUGAGGGGGGAAAGGAGCCGCAAGGCUCCCUACCUACCCGGC